rnacentral:lncRNA from 1 species
CUUGAAAACAAUGCCUGAUGUAAGCAGCUUCCAUGCAGUUAGUCAUUAUUAAUGCAGACAGUUCUGACAGCUAAAGCAAACAGUAUUUGGCAGCAAUAACUUAAUCAGGAUGCUGUUGAGGAAUGCAGUUCACCAACCAGCAAUUGCAUUGUUGUGCAGUUAGCUGGCUUCCCUGUCCCUCCAUUUGUGGCAGUUAAACAUAUUUUAAGUUUAUUUGCCCUCUUGGUAUGCUUUAGUGGUAUCAUCUCUCAGCUUAGCAUGAGAUUGGUCUGAGUUCCUCACAACAUAUUCUUCCAUUGAUGUCACAGAGGUGGAACUGAAAUACAUGAACAGUCCAGAAUGCAGGAGGAAUUCGGCAAGGAAGUACAAGCUUGGUAAUACACGGGUUCGAACAGGGGAACUACCGUCACAGAAUGGUUGAAUUUGGAAGGAAGAUCUGGAGAUCAUCUGCAGCACACCACAAAUCCUCUCAGAAAGCUCACCUGAGCUGUUUCUUCAAGGCAUUCAGAACAUAGGCAAUUGUUACAUAUAAUUGCAGCUUGGCAAUUAUCUCUUAUCUAUUUACUUUGUCCAAACAGUAUAUUCUGGAGAAAGAUUUAUGGCUGAAAGCACUUGAGUAGGCCAUGUCUUUCAGAAGGAUGGAAUGCACAUAAAUUGUUUACGAACUUGAUAACUUCAAACUUUAGCAUGAGUGAAUGGGCAAGGUCAGUAAAAUGAUGGACUGGAUAACAUUCAAAGGUUGAACAGACACAUUCUUUUACAGAUCACCCACAUUCUCUCCUCCACCAUGAGGCACUUCCAACAGCAGCUUUUUCUUUUUCCAGUAACUCACAGAAAAUGUAGUGUACACAUCAACAAAUAACAAGUCUUGUAGUAUUUAGCUUCUGGAAUAUACUAGUAUUUAAGACCAUCUCCUCACAACUGAAGGAUGCAGCAAAAAGAUGCAAAAGCAGUUUAUUUUCAAUACAGGAAUGCAUAGCCUUUCAGGUUUCCAAACAUGGUAUGUAUAGCCAAAUAAGAAAUCUAAUGAUCCCUGAAGAAUUGAAUUAUUCAGGUUGAAAAACUCUGGGGGCUGUUGUUGGUCCAACCAACUUCUCAAAGCAGAGUCAGUUAUCUGAUGAGGCCAGGUUUGUUA